rnacentral:rRNA from 1 species
AUUGAACGCUGGCGGCAUGCUUUACACAUGCAAGUCGAACGGCAGCGCGGGCUUCGGCCUGGCGGCGAGUGGCGAACGGGUGAGUAAUACAUCGGAACGUGCCCAGUAGUGGGGGAUAGCUCGGCGAAAGCCGGAUUAAUAUCGCAUACGACCUGAGGGUGAAAGCGGGGGAUCUUCGGACCUCGCGCUAUUUGAGCGGCCGAUGGCAGAUUAGCUAGUUGGUGGGGUAAAGGCCUACCAAGGCGACGAUCUGUAGCUGGUCUGAGAGGACGACCAGCCACACUGGGACUGAGACACGGCCCAGACUCCUACGGGAGGCAGCAGUGGGGAAUUUUGGACAAUGGGCGAAAGCCUGAUCCAGCAAUGCCGCGUGUGUGAUGAAGGCCUUCGGGUUGUAAAGCACUUUUGGCGGGAACGAAAAGGACUGUGCCAAUACCACGGUUCGAUGACGGUACCCGCAGAAUAAGCACCGGCUAACUACGUG